rnacentral:rRNA from 1 species
UAGGGAAUCUUGCGCAAUGGGCGAAAGCCUGACGCAGCCAUGCCGCGUGAAUGAUGAAGGUCUUAGGAUUGUAAAAUUCUUUCACCGGGGAAGAUAAUGACGGUACCCGGAGAAGAAGCCCCGGCUAACUUCGUGCCAGCAGCCGCGGUAAUACGAAGGGGGCUAGCGUUGCUCGGAAUUAUUGGGCGUAAAGGGCGCGUAGGCGGACAGUUUAGUCAGAGGUGAAAGCCCAGGGCUCAACCCUGGAAUUGCCUUUGAUACUGGCUGUCUUGAGUUCGGGAGAGGUGAGUGGAAUGUCGAGUGUAGAGGUGAAAUUCGUAGAUAUUCGGAAGAACACCAGUGGCGAAGGCGACUCGCUGGACAAGUAUUGACGCUGAGGUGCGAAAGCGUGGGGAGCAAAC